rnacentral:rRNA from 1 species
UGCAGUCGACGAACUUCCGUUAAUUGAUUAUGACGUACUUGUACUGAUUGAGAUUUUAACACGAAGUGAGUGGCGAACGGGUGAGUAACACGUGGGUAACCUGCCCAGAAGUAGGGGAUAACACCUGGAAACAGAUGCUAAUACCGUAUAACAGAGAAAACCGCAUGGUUUUCUUUUAAAAGAUGGCUCUGCUAUCACUUCUGGAUGGACCCGCGGCGUAUUAGCUAGUUGGUGAGGUAAAGGCUCACCAAGGCAGUGAUACGUAGCCGACCUGAGAGGGUAAUCGGCCACAUUGGGACUGAGACACGGCCCAGACUCCUACGGGAGGCAGCAGUAGGGAAUCUUCCACAAUGGACGCAAGUCUGAUGGAGCAACGCCGCGUGAGUGAAGAAGGGUUUCGGCUCGUAAAGCUCUGUUGUUAAAGAAGAACGUGGGUAAGAGUAACUGUUUACCCAGUGACGGUAUUUAACCAGAAAGCCACGGCUAACUACGUGCCAGCAGCCGCGGUAAUACGUAGGUGGCAAGCGUUAUCCGGAUUUAUUGGGCGUAAAGCGAGCGCAGGCGGUCUUUUAAGUCUAAUGUGAAAGCCUUCGGCUCAACCGAAGAAGUGCAUUGGAAACUGGGAGACUUGAGUGCAGAAGAGGACAGUGGAACUCCAUGUGUAGCGGUGAAAUGCGUAGAUAUAUGGAAGAACACCAGUGGCGAAGGCGGCUGUCUGGUCUGCAACUGACGCUGAGGCUCGAAAGCAUGGGUAGCGAACAGGAUUAGAUACCCUGGUAGUCCAUGCCGUAAACGAUGAUUACUAAGUGUUGGAGGGUUUCCGCCCUUCAGUGCUGCAGCUAACGCAUUAAGUAAUCCGCCUGGGGAGUACGACCGCAAGGUUGAAACUCAAAAGAAUUGACGGGGGCCCGCACAAGCGGUGGAGCAUGUGGUUUAAUUCGAAGCUACGCGAAGAA